GCCUAAAGCGUCCGUAGCCUGUUCUAUAAGUUUCCGGUUAAAUCCAUUAGCUCAACUAAUGGGCUGCCGAAAAUACUGUAGAACUAGGGAGUGGGAGAGGUAGACGGUAUUCAGUAGGAAGGGGUAAAAUCCUUUGAUCUAUUGAGGACCACCUGUGGCGAAGGCGGUCUACCAGAACACGUUCGACGGUGAGGGAUGAAAGCUGGGGGAGCAAACCGGAUUAGAUACCCGGGUAGUCCCAGCUGUAAACGAUGCAGACUCGGUGAUGCGCUGGCUUGUGGCCAGUGCAGUGCCGCAGGGAAGCCGUUAAGUUUGCCGCCUGGGAAGUACGUACGCAAGUAUGAAACUUAAAGGAAUUGGCGGGGGAGCACCACAAGGGGUGAAGCCUGCGGUUCAAUUGGAGUCAACGCCAGAAAUCUUACCCGAAGAGACAGCAGAAUGAAGGUCAAGCUGGAGACUUUACCAGACAAGCUGAGAAGUGGUGCAUGGCCGUCGCCAGCUCGUGCCGUGAGAUGUCCUGUUAAGUCAGGUAACGAGCGAGAUCCCUGCCUCUAGUUGCCACCAUUACUCUCAGGAGUAGUGGGGCGAAUUAGCGGGACCGCCGCAGUUAAUGCGGAGGAAGGAAGGGGCCACGGCAGGUCAGUAUGCCCCGAA
rnacentral:rRNA from 1 species